rnacentral:tRNA from 1 species
UCCCUGGUGGCUCAGAGGUUAAAGCAUCUGCCUACAAUGCAGGAGACCUGGGUUUGAUCCCUGGGUUGGGAA